UGCUAUUCGUUUUUAUAACAGCAUACAUUUGAUCACGGGUUUCUUCAUCGCUGCCUAAUUUUGGCGAAAUGAAGGAAUGUCACAACUUUACUGACGGAGAAAAAAAGUUUUGGCUAAGAGGAAUGCACGCAGUUGUAAAUGUGAACUGGUGGAUGGUUAAGAAGCUGAUGUGUCUUCUAGAAAUCUAAACAAAUUUGUGCAGAAUAUGAGACAGGCAGAAUAACCAUAGGUCCAUUAGUGUCAACUGUCUUUGCCAAUGGGUGGAUCCACACUGCAAAACUUAUGAAGAUGAUUGCAAACCGAAGAAGAGUCCUUGGACAAAGCAUUAAACCCUCUUGGUCCCCACUACACAGACUAAUGACGUUGACGUACCCAAAUGAAGACACUAGCGGUGUUAUUAUGGAGUAUAUGGUAAGUUGUUUUAUUUAUUAAUUUAUUUAUUUAUUGGUAUUUUCAAGGAUGAUAAAUGCUAAGGUAAAUUUAAUAUGCAAGAAUUUGAGUACUCCAUUCUUUUAAAUAUCCUCUCUAGGAUACAGACGUUGGCAGCACUCAGGAGGUGAUCCAGAGGAAUCAUGGGAAUCUGUGUCAUACGAUUUGAAGGUACAGACAUUGAAGACAGCACAGCAGAUGUUGGAGUGUUGGAAGAUAAAGUUCUUCAGGACCUUAGCAGUAAACCCUAUGAAAAAACAUGUUGCUGGGACUGAUAUAUGGACUAAACCUGAACUCCUAAAAUCAGGUACACAUUUGGAGUACUGCAGAAUUUAUUUCUGGAGCCAGUUCCUGUUCCUGGAUUAAGGUUUGAUUGGUUACCUUUAUAUGCCAAUUAGAGAAUGACAUUAGUUUAAUAUUUCUGUAAUUUUGUAAUGUGGUUGUAACUGUAAUUGUUGCUCUUGUUUAACAAAUACACUUGAUAAUUUGUGACAUCUUGUCUUUUGUGAUUCAUUGCAAAAUAAUCACACAAAAAUGCUUUGUUGAAGGGAGUAACUUUAACUUGAAAUCAUUUAGUUAAAGUAACUAGAACCAAUUGGAUGGAACCACUGUCCAUAAUUUAAAUGAGUUGUCUGAAACAAACUUCCUUAUGUUGAUAAAGUGAAACCUAUUUGGCCAGUUUUAAUAAACCAAAACAUGUUCACUAAACUUAACCGGUUUAAGUUACAGGGAAGUGAAUAAAUUGAGUUGGUUGGACAUUACUAUUUCACAUAAAUUCUUCCUCAUUCAGCUGUGUUGUUACAACACAAAGAGUUUGCAUAGAUUCAAAAAAUUCCAUUCAUGUUCAUCAAAAACAAUUUGGUUGUGUGGAACCACUGUCCAUAAUUGAAUUAAGUAGGUUUAAAGAAUCAUUUUUUUGAGUGUAUGCGGCGUUCCCUCUCCUCCGAGCUGAUAUGAGUAACUCCCGGCUGCAUGGGUUCGUUCUCCAGCUGAGGUGCGCUGAUCGAGACAGAUGGAGUAAGUGAUUGACGAGGACGACGUGAUCGAAGGAGAUUGUCGACUCGAUAUCCAGAUCGAUUAAUUGUGCUAGGGAUCUCUCCUCAUCCCGGCAGGCGAGUUCA